rnacentral:rRNA from 1 species
UACGAAGGGGGCGAGCGUUGUUCGGAUUUACUGGGCGUAAAGGGCGCGCAGGCGGCGCAUCAAGUCAGGCGUGAAAGCCCCGGGCUUAACCUGGGAACUGCGUCUGGGACUGUCGUGCUGGAGUCCGGGAGAGGGUGGUGGAAUUCCGAGUGUAGAGGUGAAAUUCGUAGAUAUUCGGAGGAACACCGGUGGCGAAGGCGGCCACCUGGCCCGGAACUGACGCUCAAGCGCGAAAGCGUGGGGAGCAAACAGG